AAACUCAGAUCAUGUAAAAUUUCAAAGGUCGAACAGACCUAAUUUAUUAGCUCCUUCACCAAUAAUUAAUUUUAAUCCAACAUCGAGGUCGCAAACUUUUUUUUCAAUAAGAACUCUUAAAAAAAUUACGCUGUUAUCCCUAAGGUAAUUUAAUCUUUUAAUUCUAUAAACAAGGAUCAUAAACCUACAAAUAAAUAUUUUAAUAAAGAAAAGUUAAUUCAGUUUUCCAAUCACCCCAACUAAAUAAAUUAAUAAAAAUCUAAACUAAUUAUUCCUAAACCUUAGAUACCUAUUCAUCUAUAAAACUCUAUAGGGUCUUCUCGUCUUCUAUUUAAAUCUAAGCUUUUUCACUUAAAAAUAAAAUUCUAAUAAACUUUCUCAGAGACAAUCAUCUUUUCAUCGAACCCUUCAUACAAGCUUCCAAUUAAAAAACUAAUGACUAUGCUACCUUUGCACGGUCAAAAUACCGCGGCCAUUCAAUAUCCUCACUGGGCAGGCCUGACCUGAAAUAUUUAUCAACAGGACAUGUUUUU
rnacentral:rRNA from 1 species